GGGUUGUGAGGUUAAGCGACUAAGCGUACACGGUGGAUGCCCUGGCAGUCAGAGGCGAUGAAGGACGUGCUAAUCUGCGAAAAGCGCCGGCGAGGUGAUAUGAACCUUUGACCCGGCGAUGUCCGAAUGGGGAAACCCAGUGCAAUUCGUUGCACUAUCGUUUGAUGAAUACAUAGUCAAACGAGGCGAACCGGGGGAACUGAAACAUCUAAGUACCCCGAGGAAAAGAAAUCAACCGAGAUUCCCCCAGUAGCGGCGAGCGAACGGGGAGCAGCCCAGAGCCUGAAUCAGCUUGUGUGUUAGUGGAAGCGUCUGGAAAGUCGCGCGAUACAGGGUGACAGCCCCGUACACGAAAGCACACAGGCUGUGAGCUCGAUGAGUAGGGCGGGACACGUGGUAUCCUGUCUGAAUAUGGGGGGACCAUCCUCCAAGGCUAAAUACUCCUGACUGACCGAUAGUGAACCAGUACCGUGAGGGAAAGGCGAAAAGAACCCCGGCGAGGGGAGUGAAAAAGAACCUGAAACCGUGUACGUACAAGCAGUGGGAGCCUCUUAAUGGGGUGACUGCGUACCUUUUGUAUAAUGGGUCAGCGACUUAUAUUCUGUAGCAAGGUUAACCGAAUAGGGGAGCCGAAGGGAAACCGAGUCUUAACUGGGCGUUAAGUUGCAGGGUAUAGACCCGAAACCCGGUGAUCUAGCCAUGGGCAGGUUGAAGGUUGGGUAACACUAACUGGAGGACCGAACCGACUAAUGUUGAAAAAUUAGCGGAUGACUUGUGGCUGGGGGUGAAAGGCCAAUCAAACCGGGAGAUAGCUGGUUCUCCCCGAAAGCUAUUUAGGUAGCGCCUCGUGAAUUCAUCUCCGGGGGUAGAGCACUGUUUCGGCUAGGGGGCCAUCCCGGCUUACCAACCCGAUGCAAACUACGAAUACCGGAGAAUGUUAUCACGGGAGACACACGGCGGGUGCUAACGUCCGUCGUGAAGAGGGAAACAACCCAGACCGCCAGCUAAGGUCCCAAAGUCAUGGUUAAGUGGGAAACGAUGUGGGAAGGCACAGACAGCCAGGAUGUUGGCUUAGAAGCAGCCAUCAUUUAAAGAAAGCGUAAUAGCUCACUGGUCGAGUCGGCCUGCGCGGAAGAUGUAACGGGGCUAAACCAUGCACCGAAGCUGCGGCAGCGACACUAAGUGUUGUUGGGUAGGGGAGCGUUCUGUAAGCCUGCGAAGGUGUGCUGUGAGGCAUGCUGGAGGUAUCAGAAGUGCGAAUGCUGACAUAAGUAACGAUAAAGCGGGUGAAAAGCCCGCUCGCCGGAAGACCAAGGGUUCCUGUCCAACGUUAAUCGGGGCAGGGUGAGUCGACCCCUAAGGCGAGGCCGAAAGGCGUAGUCGAUGGGAAACAGGUUAAUAUUCCUGUACUUGGUGUUACUGCGAAGGGGGGACGGAGAAGGCUAUGUUAGCCGGGCGACGGUUGUCCCGGUUUAAGCAUGUAGGCUGGUUAUCCAGGCAAAUCCGGAUAAUCAAGGCUGAGGUGUGAUGACGAGUCACUACGGUGAUGAAGUAACAAAUGCCCUGCUUCCAGGAAAAGCCUCUAAGCAUCAGGUAACACGAAAUCGUACCCCAAACCGACACAGGUGGUCAGGUAGAGAAUACCAAGGCGCUUGAGAGAACUCGGGUGAAGGAACUAGGCAAAAUGGUGCCGUAACUUCGGGAGAAGGCACGCUGAUAUGUAGGUGAAGCCCCUGCGGGUGGAGCUGAAAUCAGUCGAAGAUACCAGCUGGCUGCAACUGUUUAUUAAAAACACAGCACUGUGCAAACACGAAAGUGGACGUAUACGGUGUGACGCCUGCCCGGUGCCGGAAGGUUAAUUGAUGGGGUUAUCCGUAAGGAGAAGCUCUUGAUCGAAGCCCCGGUAAACGGCGGCCGUAACUAUAACGGUCCUAAGGUAGCGAAAUUCCUUGUCGGGUAAGUUCCGACCUGCACGAAUGGCGUAAUGAUGGCCAGGCUGUCUCCACCCGAGACUCAGUGAAAUUGAACUCGCUGUGAAGAUGCAGUGUACCCGCGGCAAGACGGAAAGACCCCGUGAACCUUUACUAUAGCUUGACACUGAACAUUGAGCCUUGAUGUGUAGGAUAGGUGGGAGGCUUUGAAGCGUGGACGCCAGUCUGCGUGGAGCCAACCUUGAAAUACCACCCUUUAAUGUUUGAUGUUCUAACGUGGACCCGUGAUCCGGGUUGCGGACAGUGUCUGGUGGGUAGUUUGACUGGGGCGGUCUCCUCCCAAAGAGUAACGGAGGAGCACGAAGGUUGGCUAAUCCUGGUCGGACAUCAGGAGGUUAGUGCAAUGGCAUAAGCCAGCUUGACUGCGAGCGUGACGGCGCGAGCAGGUGCGAAAGCAGGUCAUAGUGAUCCGGUGGUUCUGAAUGGAAGGGCCAUCGCUCAACGGAUAAAAGGUACUCCGGGGAUAACAGGCUGAUACCGCCCAAGAGUUCAUAUCGACGGCGGUGUUUGGCACCUCGAUGUCGGCUCAUCACAUCCUGGGGCUGAAGUAGGUCCCAAGGGUAUGGCUGUUCGCCAUUUAAAGUGGUACGCGAGCUGGGUUUAGAACGUCGUGAGACAGUUCGGUCCCUAUCUGCCGUGGGCGCUGGAGAAUUGAGGGGGGCUGCUCCUAGUACGAGAGGACCGGAGUGGACGCAUCACUGGUGUUCGGGUUGUCAUGCCAAUGGCACUGCCCGGUAGCUACAUGCGGAAGAGAUAAGUGCUGAAAGCAUCUAAGCACGAAACUUGCCCCGAGAUGAGUUCUCCCUUGGACUUUAAGUCCACUAAAGGAACGUUGAAGACGACGACGUUGAUAGGCCGGGUGUGUAAGCGCAGCGAUGCGUUGAGCUAACCGGUACUAAUGAACCGUGAGGCUUAACCUUACAACGCCGAAG
rnacentral:rRNA from 1 species